rnacentral:rRNA from 1 species
ACGGCGAGUGAAGCGGCAACAGCUCAAAUUUGAAAUCUGGCUUCGGCCCGAGUUGUAAUUUGCAGAGGAUGUUUCUGGCGCGGUGCCUUCCGAGUUCCCUGGAACGGGACGCCACAGAGGGUGAGAGCCCCGUAUGGUUGGACACCAAGCCUGUGUGAAACUCCUUCGACGAGUCGAGUAGUUUGGGAAUGCUGCUCUAAAUGGGAGGUAAAUCUCUUCUAAAGCUAAAUACCGGCCAGAGACCGAUAGCGCACAAGUAGAGUGAUCGAAAGAUGAAAAGCACCUUGAAAAGGGGGUUAAAUAGUACGUGAAAUUGUUGAAAGGGAAGCACUUAUGACCAGACUUGGGCCGGGCGGCUCAUCAGGGGUUCUCCCCUGUGCACUCCGCCCGGCACAGGCCAGCAUCGGUUCUCGUGGGGGGAUAAGACCGUCAGGAACGUAGCACCCUCCGGGGUGUGUUAUAGCCUGGCGGACGAUACCCCCGUGGGGACCGAGGUCCGCGCUCCGCAAGGAUGCUGGCGUAAUGGUCAUCAGUGACCCGUCUUGAAACACGGACCAAGGAGUCGUCCAUUAGAGCGAGCGUUUGGGUGUAAAACCCGCACGCGUAAUGAAAGUGAACGCAGGUGAGAGCUUCGGCGCAUCAUCGACCGAUCCUGAUGUUCUCGGAAGGAUUUGAGUAAGAGUUUUAACGGACGGACCCGAAAGACAGUGAACUAUGCUUGUAUAGGGUGAAGCCAGAGGAAACUCUGGUGGAGGCUCGCAGCGGUUCUGACGUGCAAAUCGAUCGUCAAAU